CCCUGGGCUGACCGAUGCAUAGUGCGUGUGUCGUGGGUGCCUCAUCUCCUCUCGCGAGCGCGGCUUCAGUUUCCCUUUCUAUCUCUUCAAUAUCCAAUGUCGUGCUGCUACCGCCGUCGGCGCCGCCGUCAACGCCUCCGCCUCCGCCUCGUCCUCUCGGUUUCUGAUGCUGCCGCUCCGACGAAGGUCGCCGCGCCGCUGGUGCUUAGAUUCAUGGAGGGGAACAGCAGCCACGCCACACGGCAUGCCUCGCCGUGCCGCAUGGUGGCCGAGAGGCGGCCGCCCCAUGCUCUGCCUGCGCCGUCUCAUCGUCUUCAUCGACAGGAGGCAUCUCUGCCGGCCUUAUCCCAUCACCAUCGCCUCCCUUCCCUACGAGAGCGACGGAUCCAAUAGCUUGAGCUCGGAUCGCUUCCAGGUGCUUGCGGCCGCCGCCCAGCUUGCGCUCACUUGCUGACCUUGAACUCUAGCCGCAGCAGAUCGUCCAUGAGUCCAGCUUCUACUCGAUCCUGGCGUCCAGGGGUGUGGUUACGAUUGCUUCUUCUAGACACAUUACCAGGAAUCUGGCUUGAAUAUGCAGUCUCUCACAAUGGAAGAGAUCAUGUUAUGCAGUCUCGCAUAAUGGAAAAGAGAAGAUGAUUUUAUGUCAAUUGGACUCUACAUGGAUGGAAAUGAAAACACCAGAGUGAACUCUUUUUCCUUGCUUAAGACAUUAAUUCAUACAGCAUCUCAUCGUGUUAUUCUGAUUUUAUACCCUUAUGCUCUUGACAAUAGUUUCUUAGCUUUCCAAAACUCAGAAGUAAUUUACCUUCCCCUCAUAUUUUAAUUGAUUUU